rnacentral:rRNA from 1 species
AUGAUACGGGGCGCUCGCGCACCUCCCCUCCGAGUAGCCCGGCUGUUCUGGCCUUCCCGCCGCCUAUGCGGCGACGAUUCAAGAACCGGUGUCGAGGCGCCCGGCACUGGGCAGCAGGAUGAUGGCUGCAUUCUGGAGAGAGAGGGCGAGGCGGGCCUAGAUCCGUCGACCGUUACGCCCGAAGUGCUCCUCCGCAUGCCGCCGCCGCCGCCCCUGCCCGGCCGGCCGGAGAGCGGCGACUAUGAUGCCGAAAAUUUGUCCUCUGGUUCCGGUUCCAGGCGGAGGCCCCGUGAGGAAUUGAGACUGGCAGAUAGGAUUCUCAAGGUACUGCUGCAGGAUGGCCCGGGGUUCAGCGCCCGCAAGGCGCUCGACGAAAUGAACCUGAAGGUGACCAACGAGCUGGUCAGACAGGUGAUGUUCAAGUUUGUUGUGUCUGUUGAUAGUGUCAACCGGGAGAGGUACCCGAGGCUGGCGUACAAGUUCUUCGUGUGGGCAGGGCAGCAGGAUGGGUACCGCCAUAACACGAGCAUGUACAACCUCGUUAUGAAGGUCUUUGCCGAGUGCGGGGAGGUUAAGGCGAUGUGGCGGCUGCUUGAGGAGAUGACGGAGAUUGGGCUGCCUGUCUCUGCUCGUACAUUCCACAUUUUGAUAUGCACAUGUGGGCAGGCUGGGUUGAGGCGGAGGCUGGUGGAAAGGUUCAUCAAGUCAAGUAGUUUCAACUACCGCCCGUUCAAGAGUUCGUUCAAUGCGAUAUUGCACACGCUCCUGACGAUCAAACAGUACUCUUUGAUCGAAUGGGUUCACCAGAAAAUGGUAACGGAGGGGCACACUCCUGAUGUAUUGACAUACAAUGUGGUCAUGCGUGCAAAGUAUUUGCUCGGGAAAUUGGAUCAGUUCCAUAGAUUGCUUGAUGAGAUGGGAAAGAAUGGGCUUACGCCUGACCUUCAUACUUACAAUCUCUUGCUUCAUGUGCUUGGUAAAGGAGACAAACCGCUUGCAGCUCUCAAUUUACUGAACUAUAUGAGUGAUGUUGGUUGUGUGCCAAGUGUGCUCCAUUUCACAAACUUGAUAGAUGGUCUUAGCCGUGCUGGUAACCUAGAAGCUUGCAGGUAUUUCUUUGAUGAGAUGGUGAAGAAAGGGUGUGAACCGGAUGCUGUCUGCUACACUGUUAUGAUUACAGGCUAUGUGGCAGCCGCAGAAUUUGAGGAAGCCCAGAAGUUGUUUGAUGAUAUGUUGGUGAGAGGGAAGCUUCCGAAUGUGUACACAUACAAUUCAAUGAUACGCGGGCUUUGCAUAGUAGGUGAGUUUGAUAAAGCUUGCUCUAUGCUGAAGGAUAUGGACUUGCACGGAUGCACACCAAACUUCUCAGUGUAUAGUACUUUAGUGUGUAGAUUGCGAAAUGCUGGAAAGGAUUCUGAAGCUAAUCAUGUUAUUAAGUACAUGACAAAGAAAGGCCAAUAUCUUCAUUUGUUGUCAAGGUUUGGGGGAUAUAGAAGAUGCUGA